CAGCCGCCGCGGGAAUACGAAGGGGGCUAGCGUUGUUCGGAUUUACUGGGCGUAAAGGGCGCGUAGGCGGACUGAUAAGUCAGGGGUGAAAUCCCAAGGCUCAACCUUGGAACUGCCUUUGAUACUGUUUGUCUUGAGUUCGAGAGAGGUAAGUGGAACUGCGAGUGUAGAGGUGAAAUUCGUAGAUAUUCGCAAGAACACCAGUGGCGAAGGCGGCUUACUGGCUCGAAACUGACGCUGAGGCGCGAAAGCGUGGGGAGCAAAUGGGAUUAGAGACCCCGGUAGUCCCUGUCUCUUAUAA
rnacentral:rRNA from 1 species